AAAUUGAAGAGUUUGAUCAUGGCUCAGAUUGAACGCUGGCGGCAGGCCUAACACAUGCAAGUCGAACGGUAACAGGAAGAAGCUUGCUUCUUUGCUGACGAGUGGCGGACGGGUGAGUAAUGUCUGGGAAACUGCCUGAUGGAGGGGGAUAACUACUGGAAACGGUAGCUAAUACCGCAUAACGUCGCAAGACCAAAGAGGGGGACCUUCGGGCCUCUUGCCAUCGGAUGUGCCCAGAUGGGAUUAGCUUGUUGGUGGGGUAACGGCUCACCAAGGCGACGAUCCCUAGCUGGUCUGAGAGGAUGACCAGCCACACUGGAACUGAGACACGGUCCAGACUCCUACGGGAGGCAGCAGUGGGGAAUAUUGCACAAUGGGCGCAAGCCUGAUGCAGCCAUGCCGCGUGUAUGAAGAAGGCCUUCGGGUUGUAAAGUACUUUCAGCGGGGAGGAAGGGAGUAAAGUUAAUACCUUUACUCAUUGACGUUACCCGCAGAAGAAGCACCGGCUAACUCCGUGCCAGCAGCCGCGGUAAUACGGAGGGUGCAAGCGUUAAUCGGAAUUACUGGGCGUAAAGCGCACGCAGGCGGUUUGUUAAGUCAGAUGUGAAAUCCCCGGGCUCAACCUGGGAACUGCAUCUGAUACUGGCAAGCUUGAGUCUCGUAGAGGGGGGUAGAAUUCCAAGUGUAGCGGUGAAAUGCGUAGAGAUCUGGAGGAAUACCGGUGGCGAAGGCGGCCCCCUGGACGAAGACUGACGCUCAGGUGCGAAAGCGUGGGGAGCAAACAGGAUUAGAUACCCUGGUAGUCCACGCCGUAAACGAUGUCGACUUGGAGGUUGUGCCCUUGAGGCGUGGCUUCCGGAGCUAACGCGUUAAGUCGACCGCCUGGGGAGUACGGCCGCAAGGUUAAAACUCAAAUGAAUUGACGGGGGCCCGCACAAGCGGUGGAGCAUGUGGUUUAAUUCGAUGCAACGCGAAGAACCUUACCUGGUCUUGACAUCCACAGAACCUUGUAGAGAUACGAGGGUGCCUUCGGGAACUGUGAGACAGGUGCUGCAUGGCUGUCGUCAGCUCGUGUUGUGAAAUGUUGGGUUAAGUCCCGCAACGAGCGCAACCCUUAUCCUUUGUUGCCAGCGGUCCGGCCGGGAACUCAAAGGAGACUGCCAGUGAUAAACUGGAGGAAGGUGGGGAUGACGUCAAGUCAUCAUGGCCCUUACGACCAGGGCUACACACGUGCUACAAUGGCGCAUACAAAGAGAAGCGACCUCGCGAGAGCAAGCGGACCUCAUAAAGUGCGUCGUAGUCCGGAUUGGAGUCUGCAACUCGACUCCAUGAAGUCGGAAUCGCUAGUAAUCGUGGAUCAGAAUGCCACGGUGAAUACGUUCCCGGGCCUUGUACACACCGCCCGUCACACCAUGGGAGUGGGUUGCAAAAGAAGUAGGUAGCUUAACCUUCGGGAGGGCGCUUACCACUUUGUGAUUCAUGACUGGGGUGAAGUCGUAACAAGGUAACCGUAGGGGAACCUGCGGUUGGAUCACCUCCUUACCUUAAAGAAGC
rnacentral:rRNA from 1 species